UCCCUCUCAGGAUCGUACCUGGAGAGUUUUCAGUACUCUACCAGUCUCUGCUAUGGGAGGGAGAGUCAAGCAGAGGCAUUUCCAUUCCUAGCUUGGACAGUGGCUAGCAAGUGGAAGACAAUCUGCUACAAGU